UGGUUGCUUGCAUUCAGGUCUGAUCCAAGGACAAUUUAGAGCCAGGGUCACAGCCCAGAGGAGGCCCCGCCUCCCUUAGUGCUCCAGACAGUAAGGAGGAGGCGUGCAAAGCGAUGGAGAGCCAUCCACAGAGGCGCACUGAACGGGAGCUUCCGAAGCCAGGGAGCAGGAGCUUCCUGGAGGGAGAAGGAGCUGGGACAGGGAGGGAAGCAGAAGACCUGGCAUUGCCCAAGGCCAGCUCCACACAGCAGUAGGAAUUAAAGGCUCAGGAACAAGAACGGUGAAGAAAGGGCAGGUAGACAUCAAUGCUAUUCUAACAGAGAAGGACAGAGGUAACAAGAAGAGAGAAAAACUGGAGACAAGAGGAGAACAGUGGGGGAAGUCAGAAGGGAUGAUCAGUAACCACCACGGGGUCAAAGCAAGAUGAUGAAGCCGGAGCAGAGGCUCUGAGAACAACAGUCCUGGGAGAGAGGAACAAAGGAGCCGUUCUGCUGUCCCCGGGGACUCAAAGGGACUAAGAACCUCUGCCGAACACAAUGCCGAGUGCCCUGCUGUGUGGCUGGGCCAAGACAUGGGGCUCUCUGGUUAACCACAUUUCCACUUCAGACUUUAGGUUUUGUAACAGAGUUGCAAGUCAUCCCUGCUCCUGAUGGAAGUGGCAGGUACAGAUCUAGUGUGGGAUGGAGUAGAAGAAAUGCCUGGCUGCUACAGAGCUCGAAAGAAAAGCCCUGGUCCACCCAGCAUUGCCGCACCCUACAGCAAGUGGGAUCUGGCCCCGUCAGAGCUGCCGGGAGUCCUUCCUCUAAGGGUGAUGUUCCACGAGCAGAAGUCUGGCACAUUGCUCGGAACUCGAUGCCUUCAGUACUAUUUGCAUUCUCCAGCUUUCUUUAGCCUUCUGUCAAAAUUUAUUUGAAAGGCAAUAAAGACAGAUGGACAGAUUUUCCAUCUGCCAUUUCAUUCUCCAAAUAUGUGCACUAUCUAGGGCUGGGCAGGCUGGUGAUAGGAUCCUGGAACCGAAUCCUGGUCUCCUACAUGGGUGGCAGGGACCCAAGUACUUGAGCCAUAACCUGUUGCCUCCCAAGGUGUGCGUUAGCAAGAAGCUGGAAUUGGGAGUGGAGUCAGGACUUGAACCCAAGCACUCUGAUAUGAGAUGUGGGUAUUCUAAGCAAUGUCUUAGCUGCUGUGCCCAGCACCUGCCCCUGCAGUACCCAGUUUCUAAACUCUCUCCUUUCUUAUUCCUGCCCCUCUGCCUCUCCCUGUCUGAAUCUCCUUCAUUGGAUUAUCUUCCUGCGCCUGAUCACCCUGGUGAUGCUCUAACUUCAUCCAGGUGCAGUCACCUGAGGGUCUUUGCUUGCCACUUCAUGCAGAAGAGCUGAGCCUAGGUCUACAUUCUAGAUCUUUCUGAGCUCCAGAUAUUCCAGAUAAGAAGUUCGACUGCUUAACUGGAUGCCCCAAAGCAACCCCAAUAUCCCCCUUAAAGUUAAUGCUUUUGUGGGGGACAAAUACAGUUGUAUUACCGGCCCCAAGUCCUCACCCCAGGAGAUACUCCCCAUGCCUUGAUUGGGGUUGGCUGUACAGCUUGCUUUGGCCAGUGACGUGAGGGUGGAUGUGGCAGUGUGCCCUGGUGUUGCCAUGAGAAGAGGCUCCCCGGAAAGCUGUCGAUUCCCAGGGGCAAAGCUGUCCUCACCAACCUACAGAUCUAAAGCAAGAAGCAGAGUGGAGGGACCAGGGCCACUGCUGAGCCCACAUCUGUGAGAAUAGAGGUUACGAUUUUAAGUCCCUGGAUAUUGUGGAAGCUUCCUCUGCGAUGUUAGUGUGGCAACAGCCAACCAAUGCGAUCUUACAUGAAGAUAAGGUGUAGGGGCUGUGGUGUGGCACAGUAGGUUAAGCGGCCGCUUGUGCUGGUAGCGUCCCAUUUUGGAGUGUCGGUUCAAGCCCUGGCAGCUGUUUCUGGUCCGGCUCCCUGUUAAUGUACUUGGAAGGGCAGAGGAAGAUGGCCCGAGUGCUUGGGCCCCUGCCACCCAUGUGGGAGACCAAGAUGGAGUUCCUGGAUCCUGGUUUCAGCCCCCAGUCCCAGCAGAUGUGGAAUAAACCAGUGGAUGGAAGAUCUCUCUCUCUGUACCUCCCUGUCUCUAUUGCUUUGUCUUUCAAAUAAAAUAAAUUUUAAAAAUAUAUAAAUAUGCAAAUUAAUAUUCGUUAUGCCUCUCAGAUAAACAAAAUAAUAAAAUUGAAGUAAAAAUAGGGCCAGGGGCCUGUGCUGUGGCAAAGCGGGUUAAAGCCCUGGCCUGAGGUGCCAGCAUCCCAUAUGGACCCCAGUUCUAGUCCUGGCUGCUCCUCUUCUUAUCCAGCUCUCUGCCAUGGCCUGGGAUUGCAGUAGAAGAUGGCCCAAGUCCUUGGGCCCCAGCAUCCAUGUGGGAGACCCGGAAGAAGCUCCUGGCUCCUGGCUUUGAAUCAGCACAGCUCUGGCCAUUGCCGCCAUCUGGGGAGUGAACCAGCAGAUGGAAGACCUCUCUAUCUGUCUCUACCUCUCUCAGCAACUCUUUCAAAUAAAUAAAAUAAAAUCUAAAAAAAUAAAAAAAAAAAAA